UACGUAGGGGGCAAGCGUUGUCCGGAAUCAUUGGGCGUAAAGCGCGUGUAGGCGGUUUCGUAAGUCUGCUGUGAAAGUCGGAGGCUCAACCUUCGAAAGCCGGUGGAUACUGUGAGACUUGAGUACGGAAGAGGAGAGUGGAAUUCCUGGUGUAGCGGUGAAAUGCGCAGAUAUCAGGAGGAACACCAACGGCGAAGGCAGCUCCCUGGGACGUUACUGACGCUGAGACGCGAAAGCGUGGGGAGCAAACAGG
rnacentral:rRNA from 1 species